rnacentral:rRNA from 1 species
GUGCACCAGUCGCGAAUCCUUCGCAAUGCAGGAAACUGCGACGAGGGAACUCCAAGUGCCUACGCUCAGCGUAGGCUGUUCUCAAGCCUAGAAAGCUUGAGGAGUAAGGGCUGGGUAAGACGGGUGCCAUCUGUGGUAGCAGUCAAUAGAUUCGAUUUGUUACUGCAAGGCAUAAGCCGCCGCGGUAAUACCCGCAGCCCAAGUGGUGGCCGCUUUUAUUGGGCCUAAAGCGUCCGUAGCCGGCCCGGUAAAUGCCUGGGGUAAAUCGUGGAGCCCAACUUCACGAAUUCCGGGUAGACUGCCGAGCUCGGGGACCCGGAAGAGGGAGAGGGGUACUUCAGGGGUAGGGGUGAAAAGUUUCC